AACGAACGCUGGCGGCAUGCCUAACACAUGCAAGUCGAACGAGACCUUCGGGUCUAGUGGCGCACGGGUGCGUAACGCGUGGGAACCUGCCCUUAGGUUCGGAAUAACUCCCCGAAAGGGGUGCUAAUACCGGAUAAUGUCUUCGGACCAAGGAUUUAUCGCCUUUGGAUGGGCCCGCGUUGGAUUAGCUAGUUGGUAGGGUAAAAGCCUACCAAGGCGACGAUCCAUAGCUGGUCUGAGAGGAUGAUCAGCCACACUGGGACUGAGACACGGCCCAGACUCCUACGGGAGGCAGCAGUGGGGAAUAUUGGACAAUGGGCGGAAGCCUGAUCCAGCAAUGCCGCGUGAGUGAUGAAGGCCUUAGGGUUGUAAAGCUCUUUUACCCGGGAUGAUAAUGACAGUACCGGGAGAAUAAGCUCCGGCUAACUCCGUG
rnacentral:rRNA from 1 species